AUUUAUAAUUAUUGUUAGAAACGUUGAGGCACUCGAUGCACUUCCUGGCUUGUAAACCUGAAAUCAUUGUAGGGGUGGCCUUAACCAAUAUUCCUGCAUAACUAACCCUAUCUUCAUUUAGGGGUU